rnacentral:lncRNA from 1 species
UUUGUACUGUGUCUUCUUGCAGGCAUGUGAUUCUACCUUCAGCCCUUGUCAAAUUGCUUCCCCGAAACCAUUUGAUGACUGAGACAGAAUGGAGAAACCUAGGGGUGCAACAGAGUCCUGGAUGGGUACACUAUAUGAUCCAUAAACCUGAACCUCACAUCUUGCUGUUUAAGAGACCAAGAACUGACAAACUUCAAGAUUAAAUCAAGUCUCCUCUUUAAUAUUUUAUCUCAAGGUUUGUUGUUUUGCAACAUGUUCCAGUGUUUUGUUGGGGGAGUGAGGGAAUGGGCAGUGUUAAUGUUUAUGGUGUAAAUCGAGGACACGUCAUUGAUGAAUUGAGGACAGGAACCAAAUCGAGUAGACUCCUCGGUUAGAAAACGUGUACAAAACCAAUGAGAGCUGUUGCAAAAAGUUAUAAACAAAGGAAGAGGGAAGAGGAACAAUAGAAAAUCCUUGAUUUACACCAUAGACAAACAUGGGUGUACAUAUAUGGGGGCAUGCAACUUUUCCUCGGAUCCGCUGAUUUCCUCGUUUUUUACUUCACAGGGAUGCAUGCCAUUAGAAAUUGCAAAACACUGUACAAUGUCUUGUGUGGUUUGGAGUUUUCUCUUUUUCUUAUUCCCUGUUGCAUGCCUGAUGUACACAUAGUUGGGAUUGGGAUAUGUGAUAUUGCAUUGGUUGAGAAGUGUCAACCGGAUGGACCUUGCACAGUACAUCACUCAUAUAACCCAGACACAGUGUUUUCCAUUGAUUAGCAGUCCAGCAAGGUGGAAUAUUGGGUACAAGUUGUGAUUGUGGGCUGACUUCAUAGAUAGCGGCUGCCCUUUCCAGAACACAGGGGCGCUGGUUCAAGAAUAUUGUUGUUACACUGUGGUUCUUUAAAUGUUAUGUUUGGUACAUUUUUAAUUAUUGGAAACAUAUGAAGUGGAGAGGUCUUCUGUGGUGUAUAAAGCAAUAAAAAUUGAAGUGUAUAAUGUGGAAGAAAAGGCCAUCAAAAUUCUGGCAGGGCUGCAUACAAAUUUUGGCAGAGUAGACUGCCCUCCUAAAACCUGUGAGAACAGUGCAGAGCUUGUUUGCUGUCGGUACUGUUAAGUAUUAUUAUCUUUUCUACUUUGUACUGUACAAACAGAGUAUUAAUAGACAAGGGUUAAUUAUGUUACCAUAGACACAAGACUUACCAAUACCCAAAGCACUUGACCGCAAAAUAUUUAGAGUAGCUUUUUCUUUUAGGUUUAAACUCUGUCAUUUGCAAAUGAUUUAUUUCAUUAUUCUAUACAAUUAAAUUGCAUACACUCCUUAAGAAAAAUUAUGAACAGUCAAUAUCAGGCACGAUAUACAAGCAACAUGGUUUGAAAAGUCAGUUGGCUUAUUGGUUAUGGUAAAAAUGGAAGAUGUACGAUUGAAAAGCCAUUUUCCCUUACCUUUUUGUAGGCGGGGCAUCCAUUUUGAAAAGUUUGACCAAAAGAAGAGUCACAUAUCAAGACUUUAUGCAGUAGAUGAAAAAAAUUGAAUUCCAAAUUAAGUGUUGAAACACAAUUUGGCGGCAGGGACACAUUUCAUAACAUGGGGAGAGAAAAAAGAGAUUACAAAGAUACGACAUCAUUAAAUCAAAGUCUUGUCAAUUUCUUUCUGAAUUUGGAAUAUAACAGUUUAAGUGGUAAAUCAAAAAGCAACAUUCCAAAUUGUAUUUUGCUUGUAUGCAAAAGAAAUUACAAAAAGAAGUAUGACAUUUACGCUGUAUGAAACACGAGUUAUUCCAAAUUUUCAAAAUACUGUUUCGGCCAUUUCCCAGAACCAUCCAGUUUGAAAUGUGUUCCAAUUCUUUUCUUCAGAGAUAAUGGGAAAAAGCAACAACAAUUCCGAAGCAACUAAUUCCACUAUUUUCCCCACAUCGCUAGGAUGCCGUGGUUGCUUUGCGGUUAUAGUAUUGGGACCUCCACAACAUAAGUGAGAGUAUAUGUAUGUCCCAUGGCGCCCUACAAAAACAUGGCACACAAAAACACUGCAUUAUGUGUCUGGGAGAUGCCGCCGCCGGGGAUUUUAUCAUGCAUGAGUUUACGUUAAAAGCUCUUGUAACUAAACUUGCAAUAAAUAAAAUUAAUAUGAAACUAGA